rnacentral:rRNA from 1 species
AGGACGAACGCUGGCGGCGUGCUUAACACAUGCAAGUCGAGCGGAAAGGCCCUUCGGGGUACUCGAGCGGCGAACGGGUGAGUAACACGUGAGCAACCUGCCCUUAGCUCCGGGAUAGCUCCGGGAAACCGGAAUUAAUACCGGAUACGACCACGGCCGACAUCUGCUGUGGUGGAAAGGAUUCCGGCUAAGGAUGGGCUCGCGGCCUAUCAGCUAGUUGGUGGAGUAACGGCCCACCAAGGCGACGACGGGUAGCCGGCCUGAGAGGGCGACCGGCCACACUGGGACUGAGACACGGCCCAGACUCCUACGGGAGGCAGCAGUGGGAAUAUUGCGCAAUGGGCGAAAGCCUGACGCAGCGACGCCGCGUGGGGAUGAAGGCCUUCGGGUUGUAAACCCCUUUCAGCAGGGACGAAGCGAAAGUGACGGUACCUGCAGAAGAAGCGCCGGCUAACUACGUCGCCAGCAGCCGC